rnacentral:misc_RNA from 1 species
AAGUCGUAACAAGGUUUCCGUAGGUGAACCUGCGGAAGGAUCAUUAACACGUCUAUUUAACAACUUACACGUGAACCACAAAUUGCUUUGGCGUUGAAGCUUUUUGUUGAUGUACAUUAACAAAUUGUUUCUUCCCAAGGUUCUUUGUUAUCUUUUAAUUAAGGUAACAAGGGCGACGAAAAGUUUGAAAAGGUGAAAGCUUUUUCAAGCCUUUCGUCGUUGCUGUUCAACACAAUUUUGAGUAGUAUACUGUGAAUGUCACAACCAAAAUAUAACACUUUCAACAGUGGAUAUCUUGGCUCCCA